GGACGCUGAAUUCCGGUUCGAAGUUAGCAAAUGGGGAUACCUUAUAGUUUGUAGGGGCUACCAUUAGCUAGUAGCAAAUAAUAAUCCAUCGGAUUGGCAUGCGAUUUAUGUAAUAGUUUCAAUUCGAGAAGAGGGUAUAAAGAUGUUAUAUCAUAAGUGACGUUUUCAAAAUUUAGGUCGACUAUGGAUCUUGAUCCUAUCACUUCCAUGUACAGUAAUACGUGCGUACGACUGUUGUGUCCGAUAAUGUUAAUCGUAAGUACUUGAUAGGACGGAUAUUGUAACGGUAACGAUAAUAGCUAACUACCCUAGAAUUUUGAACAGUUAUAGGUGAGGAGAGAAAUUUUCAUGCGUUCAAAUAUACGUGAAAACAAACUUUCGUGCUUCGAUGACCCCAUUCCAUAACGUAGACCCAUUAAAUCUGUACAAAGCCAUGCGUAUUGACGAAAUUAUACGCGAACUUUUUGCGCUGAAUUUGAAUGAAACAUACCGGACGUUUUGAGUUUGCCGACGAUCGAGAUCAUCAAUGAAUGUUCGAAUAAGACGUCGUUUCGAGCAAUACCGCAGACGAAGCAGCUAUUGGUUCGGCGAAUCUUGACAUUUCUACCAGUGGCAUGGUUUCGCGGCACAGCGCCGAUUCUGCACGCGAAUGUAUGUGUACAGCUUAUGGGUUAUACCCUGAUUAUAGCAGUUGCCAGUUGAUUCUCUCCCACUGAUUCUCCGGAGAGACAGCCUGCCCGCGAGUAGUAGGUAGUGGGUGCCGGUUACUCCCCGGUAUAAGACAGACUUUUUUAAAGUCAAUUGCCUAUUGCAGGUGGGAUAUUUCAUUCCACGAGAUCGAGACUCUCGACUCUUGAACAAUCUUAAAACGUGAGAAUUGCA